GAUGUUACUCAUCGGGCAGUCAAGGAGGAUGUUACUGCGACUCAGCCUGCCCGUCUUUCAAUGACUGUUGUUCUGACUUCAGCUCUGUUUGCGCACGCCCACCUGCAACUGAUAACCCUGGUGAUGCAAGCUGCGUCAAUCGAUGUUACUCCUCGGGCAGUCAAGGAGGAUGUUAUUGCGACUCCGGCUGUACUUUUUUCGGUGACUGCUGUUCAGACUUCACUGCUGUUUGCACACGCGCACCUGGAAAUGAUGUCUUUGGCGAUGCUUCCUGCCAAUUCCGAUGUUUCACUUCAGGCAGCCAAGGGGGUUGCUAUUGUGAUUCCGUCUGCCCCAAUUAUGGCGACUGCUGUCAUGACUACAAUGUGUAUUGCGUCCAUUCAACGCCAGAUGACUCUG